rfam:Homo sapiens chromosome 22, GRCh38 reference primary assembly.
GCUGGGCAUGGUGGCUCAUGCCUGUAAUCCCAGCACUUUGGGAGGCUGAGGUGGGUGGAUCACCUGAGGUCAGGAGUUCAAGACCAUCCUGCCCAACAUGGUGAAACCCCAUCUCUA